UAUUUGUCCUCGUCCCUGCCGGUCUCAAAAAGGCACUCUGUCACGUGUACACAGGAAAGGGCCCUGACAAGAGGAUGGGACUGCAGUUGUGGCUGCCAGAGCUCCGGCCAGGGUGAAAACAAGGAACAUUCCGGAGAAGAUCACAAGGAUGCGAAUAAAAUCUGAGCUGCACAGGGAUCUUUGGGCUGUGAUAGGAGGGGACACACAGGGGUUAGGGGAGGGUCUAGCCCUUGGCUCCCUCAGCCCAGCCCUCCUGUCACCUUGCCUUUCCCCUUUCCCCCACCUUCUAUCCCACCCGCCACCGUUGGCCAACUCCUCUCCUAAAUGGUGGACUCUGCUUUUUCCCCUCCUCUUAUCCCUACUCCUAGGAGCUUUCUGUCUGGCUUCCCUCCUGGCCCCUCCUGUAUGCAUUCUCUCUAGCGGUGGGGAUUAAGGAGAAAACUCACGUGGCCAGUGGGUAGAGAGAGUCUGGGCAGGCAGCUGCCUGAAGUCAGCCAGAGUCUGCAUGUGCCCAGCUGUCCUGGCCUCCAGCAUCUCUGGAAAAACAGAGACAGAAUGAGUAGCAGCAGGGAACCCCAUAGGGCACAUCUGAAGGCCUGAGAGGCACUGGAUGGGAUGGGAAGGCAGAAACAGGCUGACCUUAUCUAGGGGUAGGAGUGGGGAGUACUGGUUGGGGUAUCACCCCUACCCCACGUGAUGGCACAGAGAGUUGCCUGGAACUUACCACUGACAUAAGGUUGGAGUGCAGUGGCACGAUCUCGGCUCACUGCAACCUCCGCCUCCUGAGUUCAAGUGAUUCUCCUGCCUCAGCCUCCCUAGUAGCUGGGAUUACAGGACAAGCAGAGGGACAAAUUCCUUCUUGGCAUCCUUAUGGCCCCAUGACCUGCUAAUGAAUGCUGACUCUGAGUGGCUACUAGAAUUUGGUUUCCUUAUGGCUUCCCAGGAAUUGGUCUCACUCUGCUCACUGGUACAGUCACGGCUCACUGCAGCCUCUACUUCCUGGGCUCAAGUGAUCUUCUCACUUCAGCCUUCUGAGUAGCUGGGACUACGGCCCCCUCUGCAGCUCUUCAUGGGGGUCCACUCAAGUCGGAAGCCACAUCUGGGUGUGAUUCAGAGAGCUGUUUAUGCAAAACCACCCUUGUUACCAUCAGGCAAGGCACCUGAAUUCCCACCACAGCGAGUGCUGUGGCCCUGAGGACUUUUCUGUCACCAGCCAUUUCCAGGUAGACCCAGUGUAAUCACAAGCAUCCUUGUAAGUGGAAAAGAGGCAGAGGAGACAGCGCCAGAGAGGCAGCUGCAUGAGAAGGAUCAAUGAUAUUGCUGACCUUGAAGCUGGAAGAAGAGGGCCAUGAGCCCUCAGUAUGUGGGUGGCCUCCAGAAGCUGGAAGGGGCAAGGAGUUGGAUUUGACCCUAGACCCUCCAGGGGCAGUUGCACCUGCCAACACUGAUUGUAGCCUGGUGAGGCCUGUUUUAGACUUCUGACCUGUAGAGCUGUAACAUAAUACAUUUGGGUUGUUUUCAACCACUAAGUUUGUGGUAAUUUGUUAUAGCAGCCGUAGAAAAUGAAUACACGUGAAUCCUCUGGCAUUUGUUUGAGAUUUGCUCUGUGGCCUAGUGUGUGGUUGUAAAUGUUCCAUCUGUGCCUGAAAAAAUGUAUAUUUCUAAUGUAGUAGUCUCUGCUUUUUUUUUAUUUUGUACCCCACCAAUAAAAUGAUUUUCAGCAUGUAUCCCCAAAUAAA
rnacentral:antisense_RNA from 1 species